rnacentral:lncRNA from 1 species
UUGUUUGUUGAUGAAGCUUGUUGAGAGAGCGAAUGAAUUUGGAGCAAGGAAGAAGAUGAUUAAUUGUUUUAUUUAUUUCACAAAAGGAAAGAUGUGAUUUAUUGGAUAUUAUUUGAUUUGUUUUAGCUGUUUUUUUUUUUGACAAAUUAGAUAUUAAAUGAAUGAAAUUGAGCCAUUAGAUCAAAUAAAAAUAAAUGGAUAGGAUUUGGUGUCAAUAUAAAUUUUGACACCUGGUGUCAACGGAUCC